ensembl:lncRNA
AUGAGGAAAGCAUUUUUCUUUUUCACAAAAGCAUUUUUAACCACGGACAAAAAAAAAGAAGUAUUAACUGAUUGUAGGGACCAAGAGAAAACUUCUCCUUCACUCUCUGAAGAUUCACUGAAAAUCAACUGGCAAAAGCUGUCACUGAAGCUUUCUCAGAGGGUGCUGGAGAGAUAUUUCGAAAGGAAAAGGGGCUUCCUUCGUGAUUCCUGUGCUCACUUGGCAGGCUCCUGCUGCCUGGCUUUUUCUACAUCAGACUCCUCCAGUACUCACAGCCUUUCCAGUGCCUGGUUUCUGCAGUGCGUGGUGGCCAGUAGCACCCAGUGACCAGUAGCUUUCCCCUCCCUCCAGCUCUCACUCUCAGGAGUUUGGUAGCAGAGUGCCUCUGGAUCCCACAGCACUCACAGCUUCCCCAGUGCCCGGCUCCUGCAGUAGGCAGAAGCCAGCAGCACUCAGCAGUGAACAGUUUUCCCUAGCACCAUGGCUAGCAGAUUUCCAGAGAGUAGAUUUUUACCCAGUUCCAUCAGUGCAGCACCACACUGAACUUCUCUGCCACUCAGUAACUACAGCCACGCUUCUUCCAGCAAGCUCUGGAUCUCAACCUCAUCGGUGUUCUGUCUCAGGCUAGGGAUGGUGACUGCGCCUUAUAUCUGUUAUUCCUGUAUUCUUUUUUUUUCUUUUUUCUUUUUUUUUUUUUUUUGAGCUGGAGUCUCUCUUGGUUGCCCAGGCUGGAGUGCAGUGGUGCAACCUCGGCUCACAGCAGCCUUCAUCUCCCGGGUUCAAGUGAUCCUCCUGCCUCAGCCUCCUCAGUAGUUGGAACUAUAGGCAUGCAUCACCAUGCCCAGCCAAUGCUGUUUACUUUUUGUAGAGAUGGGGUUUCACCCUGUUGCCCAGCCUCUCAAAGUACUGGUUUCAAACUCCUGAGCUCAAAAACUCUGCCUGCCUCAGCCUCUCAAAGUACUGGGAUUAGAGGUGUGAGCCACCAUGCCUAGCCUGGGGGUUAAUUCUUAUAUUAAACUUUCUCUCUUCAAAUUAUUGUGUCAUUCUGUCUCCUAACUGGACAAAAAAUUGUUGUCAGGAAUGAUCGCAGGAAAUACACCUAGAGAGACUGGACUUUGGGACUGGUUUGUUCAUGCUCUGGAUUUCAGCAUUGCGCUGAACUCUUUGCCAGUAAGAAAUGGAUGCUGAUAAUCCCUAGCAUGUGGAGGCAUCACAGUGAAUUAACCUAGGCUUGAUUGUGAUGAAGUGUCAACUGAAGUACAUGCUUUGGGAACCCAAAUGGCUGCCGCACUUGACCAUCAUGACAGUAAUUGUGACUAUAAGGACUGUGUUGUGGGAUGGAUUGUUCUGAAUGCAUUUGAGCACUUACGAGACAGAAUAACAAGCUGGGGUCCGUUGACUUCCCAGCUCAAGUCAGUCUGAGAACCAGAGAACUUUCACGAUGACUAAAAAGGACACUUAUGGGCUGAUACUACUGAAAAUCAAACACAACAUUUAAUUGUGCAGUGCAAGCUGAACUCAGUCUUGACAAGUCUCAUGUGAAAGUUAGAUUAAAUCCUGAAACGUGGAUUUGGAGGGGCAUCUGUUUGGUCUCAGAUGAAAAUGAACUACCAAGUCACUCAGCCUCCUGUACUAAUGGAAAUAGCUUGUCCUUCAAUGUUUCAGCGUCUGAGACUAGCCUUUCUCUCCUUGAAAACACUGAGAUAAACUGACCUGGGGAGGAUGCCUUGAAAGAGAAUGCACAUUCUCCCCUCUCCCUGCCACAAUCACCCCCUAUUGCCACGACAAGAACCCAUCUCUACAAAAAAUUUUGAAAAUUAGCUUGGUGUGGUGGCACGUGCCUGUGGUCCCAGCUACUCAGGAGGCUGGGGUGGGAGGGUCACUUGAGCCCAGGAAGUUGAGGCUGCAGUGAGCUGUGAUCAUGCCAUUGCACUCUAGCCUGGGCAACAGAGGGAGACUCUGUCCCCCCACCCUCCAAAAAAGAAACUGGCAUAACCCCCACAUCAGCUCGCUGAUCCAUGGGGUGAGGGCCAUUCUAGGCCAAAGCCCCUGGAACAUUCACUCCUUUGAAAGUUAGUAAACCAGAAGCAAUAAUGCCUAGCGAGGGGAAUGCAGAGACUAACGGCACAAGAAAAGACUUGAAAGAAGUAGGGGCGGUGACACCUAUCACAUCUCCAUUUAACUCACUAGUUUGACCUGUGAAAAAGUUAGAUGAAUCCUGGAGAACGACUGCAGACUCUGGUAAAUUUAAUUAGAUGGUGACUCCACUUGUAGCUCCUGUCCCAGAGAUAGCGUAUUGACUGGAACAUCUCAACACACCGCUGGCACUUGGUAUGCAGGCACUGGCCUGACUGAUGACCUUUUCUCUACAUCAGUUUUCAAGGACUACCAGAAACCAUUUGCUUUUACCUGGCAAGAACAAGAACUUAACUUUAUGGUGUUGCCUGAGGGCUGUGACAUUUCUCCUGCUCUCUGCCAUUGUUGGGAAACACUGCAAAGGAGAAAGGACUUGCAGAGUGCCUACAUAAAUUGCUUAUGAAUAACAUCUAAACAAGGAACAACAAACUGUGGAAGGCCGCAGGAGGCCUCUGAUGAGGAAGGCCUCUCCAUGCCUCAUGUUCCCGUGCAGGGUGACCUAGGCUCUGUUACCAUAGACAUUGUGCUCAAGGACAUAAAACCCCUUCGUAGCACUAUGACGUAGCCAGACUUGUAGGCUUCUUGUAAGGCCCUUGUUCCAUCAGCUAUACAUAGAUAAUAAGCUAAAGAUAACCGCAUGUUCUUGUUUUGUGAAACUCCCAAACCGCUACUGUUAUCAAUCCUUAGAAUGGCAUGCCCGUUCCGGCUCACUGAUUCACUUCCAGCUCACUGAUAUUCACUCCACCAUCACCCUCUCCCCACCAUUACUCCACCCCUACCCUAUAGAUCAAAGUGAUUAUAAUCAAUAAAUAGUGUGGAUAUCAGAGCUCGGAGCCUUCACUGUCACCUCCAGAGUGAUGAAGUGAUGGUACCCUGUUCCCACUUUUUCUCUGAAUCUGUCUUUCUCUCAUUCCUUUGUCGCCACCGAACUCAGGGUAUCCACGGGUGAUGUGGGGCUCAUGGAUUCCCUACAUGCCAUGAUAUAGUCGGCAGAGAUAUUGCUCAUCUUGAUACUCGAUGAAAACAUCACACUGGGCUACUACACUGAAGACAUGCUGAUUGGAUCUGGUAAACAGAAAGGAGCGAAUAUUUUAGAUAUCUUAUUAAGAAUGAAAGGGGGCUGGGUGUGGUGGCCUAUUUCUGUAAUCCCAGCACUUUGGGAGGUCAAGGCAGUCGGAUCACUUGAGGUCAGGAAUUUGAGACCAGCUUGGCCAAUAUGGUGAAACCCAGUCUCUGCUAAAAAUACAUAGAAUAGUAAGGCAUGGUGGCAAGUGCCUAUAAUCCCAGCUACUGGGGAGGCUGAGGCAGAAGAAUUGCUUGAACCCAGGAGGCAGAGGUUGCAGUGAGCCAAGAUCAUGUCACUGCACUACAGCCUGGGGGACAGAGAGACUUUGUCUCUCAAAAAUUAAAAAAAAAAAAAAAGGCUGGCAGGGUGGCUUACGCCUGUAAUCCUAGCACUUUGGGAGGCCUAGGUGGGUGGAUCACCUGAGGUCAGGAGUUCAAGACCAACCUGGCCAUCAGGGUGAAACUCCAUCUUCUUUUUUUUUUUUUGAGACAGAGUUUCGCUCUUGUUACCCAGGCUGGAGUGCAAUGGCGCGAUCUUGGCUCACCGCAACCUUGCCUCCUGGGUUCAGGCAAUUCUCCUGCCUCACCCUCCCAAGUAGCUGGGACUACAGGCACGCGCCACCACGUCCGGCUAAUUUUUUUUUGUAUUUUUAGUAGAGACGGGGUUUUACCACGUUGAUCAGGAUGGUCUUGAUCUCUUGACCUCGUGAUCCACUCGCCUCGGCCUCCCAAAUUGCUGGGAUUAUAGGCGUGAGCCACCGCGCCCGGCCUGAAACUCCAUCUUAAAAAAAAUUAAAAAUUAAAAAUUAAAAAAAAAAAAAAAGGCCGGGCGCAGUGGCUCAUGCCUGUAAUCCCAGCACUUUGGGAGGCCAAGGCGGGCAGAUCACAAGGUCAGGAGUUCAAGACCAGACUGGUCCAUGACUGAUAGUGAAACCCUAUCUCUGCUAAAAAAUACAAAAAUUAAUUGGGCAUGGUAGCUCGUACCUGUAAUCCCAGCUACUUGAGAGGCUGAGGUAGGAGAACUGCUUGACCCAGGACCCAGGAGGCGGAGGUUACAGUGAACCGAGAUUGUGCCACUGCACUCCAGCCUGGGCUACAGAGUGAGACUCCAACUCUAAAUAAAUAAAUAAAAAGUCUGGGCACAGUGGCUCACACCUGUAAUCCCAGCACUUGGGGAGGCCCAGGCGGGCAGAUCACUUGAGGUCAGGAUUUUGAUACCAGUCUGGCCAUUAUGGCAAAACCCCAUCUGUACUAAAAAUACAAAAAUUAGCCAGGUGUGGUGGCACAUGACUGUAAUCCCAGCUACUGGGGAAGCUGAGACAGGAGAAUUGCUUGAACCCAGGAGGUGGAGGUUGCAGUGAGCCAAGGUCGCACCAUUGCACUCCAGCCUGGGCGAAGAAGCGAGACUCUGUUUCAAAAAAAAGAAAGAAAGAAAGGAGAGGGCUGGGCAUAGUGGCUCAUACCUGUAAUUUCAGUAUUUUGGGAGGUUGAGGUGGGAGGAUUGCUUAAGUCCGGGGGUUCGAGACCAGUCUGGGCAACAUAGUGAGACCUCUACAAAAAACAAACACAAAAAAAUUAGCCAGGCAUAGUGCACAUGCCUAUAGCCCCAGCUACUCGGGAGGCUGAGGGGGGAAGACUGCUUGAUCCUGGGAGGUGGAGGCUGCAGUAGGCUGUGAUUGUACCACUGGACUCCAUCCUGGGCAACAGAGCAAGACUCUGUCUCAAAUAUAUACAUAUAUGUAAACUGGUAGACUUUGAGUGGAACAGACUGCCCUCCACAAUUGGACGAGCCACGU